UUAAAGUUGUUGCAGUUAAAAAGCUCGUAGUUGAACCUUGGGCCUGGCUGGCCGGUCCGCCUCACCGCGUGCACUGGUCCGGCCGGGCCUUUCCUUCUGGGGAGCCGCAUGCCCUUCACUGGGUGUGUCGGGGAACCAGGACUUUUACUUUGAAAAAAUUAGAGUGUUCAAAGCAGGCCUAUGCUCGAAUACAUUAGCAUGGAAUAAU
rnacentral:rRNA from 1 species